rnacentral:rRNA from 1 species
AAUACGGAGGGUGCAAGCGUUAUCCGGAUUCACUGGGUUUAAAGGGUGCGUAGGCGGGCAGGGAAGUCCGUGGUGAAACCUCCGAGCUUAACUCGGAAACUGCCGUGGAUACUCUCUGUCUUGAAUACUGUGAAGGUGAGCGGAAUAUGUCAUGUAGCGGUGAAAUGCUUAGAUAUGACAUAGAACACCAAUUGCGAAGGCAGCUCACUGCGCAGUGAUUGACGCUGAGGCACGAAAGCGUGGGGAUCAAACAGGA